CCGGCGCCUUCGCCUGUUCUCCAGGCUUCGAGUGCCACCUAUCUGUCUGGCCCACCAAUGCGCCCUGGUCGCCGCCGGCUACCCCGCACCCCAGCGCCUCCCGGGUCCCGGAACUCGGGCUCCUCACCUUUGCCCCUGGUCGUCCUCGACGCCCCCAGCCCGCGCCCCUCUCCCUGCGCCUCCCCGUUCCCCUGCGCGGGCAGAAGCCGCCGUCACCUCCUUCCCGGACAUCGCGUUCGCUCUUGUUGGGCUUCAGAUGAGAAAAGCAGAUCUUUCCUGGCCUGGCUUGGAGCGCUUGGAAGCGCAGGGGAGGAAGGGCUUCUGUGUUUAACGCUCCCGCCAGGGGCCCAGCCGCUGCGUCUGGGAAUCUCCGUGGACCCCUGCCCAGGACCCCGCCGGGCUGGGGACACGGUGAAUUCAUGAUGCGUGGCUAGGGAAGGGAGACCCUGUCCCCAGCCUGCACGCUUCGGAUUCCACCCCGGGCAUGGAUCCUCCUUGGCUGGGCACUCUCCUGCUUUACAACUGUGAAAGUUUUCCGUGUGUGUGUGUGUGUGCGCGCGCGUGUGUAUUAAAAAAAAAAAAAAACUGGCUUCGUCCGCGGGGACAAAGGCCACGGCUCGAGGGAGCAGCGGGCCUCACGGUCGCCGGCAAUGGUCAGCUACCGCAGCCUGCAGGGCCCAGCGACUCCGUGAUUUGUAGAUUGAAGAUGGGGACAUGGCCACGGACAAGGUGGAGGACAUCUGUGCAGCCACACGGUUGUUCACAGCAAGUGAGAGCUGAACCCGGUUCCCAAACUCUAUACGUAAAUUUGUCUUCAACAGGGGUGGGCGCUGGGGCACGGCCAGGUAAGCUGCUGCUUGCAAUGCUUGUAUCCCCUGUUACAGCACUGGUUUGAGUCCCGGCUACUCUGCUUCCAAUCCAGCUUCCUGUUAAUGUGCUUGGGAAGCAGUGGAGGAUGACCCAAGUGCUUGGGCUUCUGUUAACCACAUGGGAGACCUGGAAGUUGUUCCUGGCUUCUGGCUUUGGUCUGGCCCAGCCCUGGCUAUUGUGGGCAUUUGGGGAUGCACAGCAAAUGGAAGCCAUCUCUCUCUCUCUCUCUCUCUCUCUCUGUGUGUGUGUCACUCUGCCUUUCAAAUUAAAAAAAUUAAAAUAUCUAAAAUAAAUAAAUAAAUUUUUCUUCA
rnacentral:lncRNA from 1 species